rnacentral:tRNA from 1 species
GGGCUAUAGCUCAGCGGUAGAACAUCUGCUUUGCAUGCAGAAGGUCUCUGGUUCAAUCCCUGGCAUUUCCA